AGAAUCAACGCUGGCGGCGUGCCUCAGACAUGCAAGUCGAACGAUUAAACUUCCCUUCGGGGAAGAUAUAGAGUGGCGCACGGGUGAGUAACACGUGGGUAAUUUACCUUUGGGUGGGGAACAACAGCCGGAAACGGCUGCUAAUACCGCAUAAUGCAGCGGCAUCAAAUGAUGACAGUUGUUAAAGCGGGGGAUCGCGAGACCUCGCGCCUAAAAGAGAAGCCCGCGGCGGAUUAGCUAGUUGGUAAGGUAAUGGCUUACCAAGGCAAACGAUCUGUA
rnacentral:rRNA from 1 species